GGGCGAGGAGUCAGCCAAGUCCAUAUAAUGACUCUGUGUGUCUCAAAAUUUCCUUAGCCUGUGUUUGUUGUGGCGGUUUGUUUUUUGUUUCAUCAGAGACCUGGGGAUGAUCGGGCGUCUGGGUGGGAGGGCUGUCUGAGCCUAGGUGGGCUGGGCACUAUCAACACAGGCUCUGAUGUGGUUUUCGGGCUGUGGAGCUGGCAGGGAUACGGAACCGGGAUUUUGGUAGAAGCCCAGGAGGGAAGGAAGGGGAGAGGGAGGAGGACUUUGCUGGGAACCAAAGUAGAGACUGAGUCAGUAAUAAAUGUAGCUGCUGAGGCCAUUACUCCUGGGAGUAAAUAAACCGGAAUUAAAAACUAUAAAAAAAGUCCCUGGCAGAGUCCUGGUAAUAAACUUGUUCAUGACUUCACGGCUUGGAGGUUCCUCAGCUUCCAAAGAUGCUGGCUCCCUCCUGCCCACAGAGGGUCGGGGAGCCCUUUGCUGGAGGAGAGGAGGCUGGGCCCUAGAGGCUGGGAGGCUCCAAGCCCCCUUCUGGGUGCACCUGCUGAGGGGUGGGGGCCGCUGGCUGCUUUGUGUCUGAGGCUUGGCUGUUAUCUGACUGGCAACUCUCAGUAAUGAGAGAAGAAAAAAACCAAUUAAUUGGGAAUGAAUUUUAAUUGUCUCUGACUUCUCAUUUGUAGGCUAUUAACAUGAGUCCCUUUUAAGCGAUCACGUUGGAUUGCAUCAUUCUAAGUGGAAGGGCCCUGGAAAGUUCUCUCUCUGCUUCCAGCAUCCAUGCCUGCCUCCCCUUUGGGCAAAAACUGGACUCUUGGGUUUUAAGCAAAAUGAACCAGUUGGGGGAAAAGAAAGAAAAAUUUCGUGCUGGCAAAAGCUUUUUUUUUUUUUUUUUUCUUUCCUUCCCUCCACCCCCUCUCUUUUUCUGCUAAAGAGCAGGUGAUUACAUGGCUAUUCUCUUGCACGUUUUGGGAGCUGUAGGAUGGUUGCUCAGACUGCAGGGCUCGGCUGCCUUUGGACAGCUUCCCUGUCAGCUCUUCACUGCCCACCUGCAUUGAGCUCCACUGGGGGAGGGGGAGCUGCACAAGUCUCCUGGAAUCAGCCUGGGCUGGGCCGAAGGAGGGGAGGAGGCUUGGGAACAGACUGCCAGGGCCAUCAUCCCCUCUUCCCAUCCCACCCCACUUUCUUCUUACUGCUCCAAAAUGAGCUGUUUUUGGUGUUUUUUUAAAUUAAAGUAUGGUUAAUUUAUAAUGUCCUACCGAUUUCUGCUGUGUAGCAAAGUGAUCCAGUCAUACAUAUAUACUUUCUUUUUCUCAUAUUUUCUUCCAUCAUGGUCUAUCACAAGAGACUGGAUAUCAUUCCCUGUGCUGUACAGUCAGACCUCAUGCUUAUCUGUUCUAAAUGUAAUAGUUUGCAUCUACCAACCCUAAACUCCCCCUCCAUCCCACUUCUUCUCCCCUCCCAUUUGGUCACCCCAAGGCUAUUCUCUAUGUCUGUGAGUCUGUUUCUGUUCUGUAGAUAGGUUCAUUUGUGCCCUAUUUUAGUUUCCACAUAUAAGUGAUAUCACAUGGUAUUUGUCAGUCUCUCUCUGACUUACUUCACUUACUAUGGAAACUCUAGUUGCAUCCAUGUUGCUGCAGAUUACAUUAUUUCAUUCUUUUUUAUGGCUGAGUAGUAUUCCAUUGUGUAUAUAUACAUCUCCUUAAUCAUUCAUCUGUCAAUGGACGUUUAGGUUGUCUCCAUGUCUUGGCUAUUGCAAAUAGUGCUGCUGUGAACAUACAGGUGCAUGUAUCUUUUUGAAUUGUAGUUUUGUCUGGAUAGAUGCCCAGGAGUGGGAUUGCUGGAUCAUAUGGUAGCUCUAUAUUUAGUUUUCUGAGGAACCUCCAUACUGGUUUCCAUAGUGGUAAAGCUGCUUUUUUUUUUUUUAAGCUUUAUUGAGGUUUAACUGGCAGAUAAAUGCUGUGUACAUCUGAGGUGUGCAGUGUGAUGCUGUGAUAUGUGGAACCUUGGGUCAUAACCUCCACAAUCAAGUGACAGGAUCUGUCACCUCACAUGGUCCCAGGUUUGUGUGAGGAGAACACUGCAGAUCUACUCUCUUAGCAGAGUCCAGGUAUAGAAUACGGCCCCGUUACCUCCCGCCACCUUACUGUACCGGAGAUCCCCAGAAUGCACUUCUCCAGAUAAACUAAACCUCUGGACCCUUGGACCAACAUCUCCCCACAUCCCCCUCCCCAGCAUAUAUCUCUCUGGGAGUGCCACUGUUGCAGAUUCCGUAUGUAAGAGAGCGCACACAGCAUCUUUCUGCGCCUGGCUUAUUCCACUUAGUGUGCAGAUUAUUCUAUUUAUUUAUCGAUUUAUUAUUUAUUUGUUUAUGACUGUGUGGAAUUAUUAGUACAGAAGUAUUCACAGUGGCCAAGAUGUGGAAACAACCUAAGCAUCCAGGGGUGGAUCAAUGGAUAAAGAAAACGUGGUACAUUCCUACAGUGGGGCAUAACUCAGCCUUAAGAGACAAGGCCAUCCUGCCACUUGGGAUAUGCAUCACAGAUGGACCUGCAGGGUCAGCGAGCUCUCCUUGCUCUGACACAGAGGCAGGAGGCUAGGGAUGGGGGUACCUGGCAAGAGGACAUGGCAGGUCACUAGAUGUUUCUGAAUAAGCCCAGGCAGUAGAGAGAGGGGAGACGGCAGCCGUGUCGGUGUCCAGCUAGAUGUGGACACCGAGGGCCCGGGAGCCCCCUCCUUUCCGUUCUCCUCAGCCUCCCUCAUCUGAUUCUCCACUUUCUGCGCCUUCCUCCCUCCCAUCCUCCCUCUUCUGCUGCCAUCAUCCUUCUCACCCCUCCUCAUCCCCAGCUCUAUCUCCACAGAGGGCUCAGGUCAAGAAUUUG
ensembl:lncRNA